AACAAACUCUACGACCUUUUGAUUUGAUUUCAUUGUCGUGUAAAAGGUCGAGCUGCUUACGACAUUUGACGUUUAUUUCAUAUUUGGGAAGAUGCAACACGUGUUUUCCUGAGGAAGAAAUAAGAGAAUGUCUCCAUUUCAAGCGGAUGACCUUCCAGCUGCAACCAAUCACUGCGAAAUCUGGACAAUGUUGUGAAGUUUUCCAUUGCUGUUGCUUGUGGUGUAAAAACACUUGUUGGAUUUAUCUAAGAUUCUUCAAUAAACUGCUCUUUAUCAUCAUG